rnacentral:tRNA from 2 species
AUUAAGGUGUCUGAUUAAAGUAAUAAACUGUAAAUUUAUUCAUAAACAUUUUGUUUUCUUAAUA